rnacentral:rRNA from 1 species
UACGAAGGGGGCUAGCGUUGCUCGGAAUCACUGGGCGUAAAGGGUGCGUAGGCGGGUCUUUAAGUCAGGGGUGAAAUCCUGGAGCUCAACUCCAGAACUGCCUUUGAUACUGAGGAUCUUGAGUACGGGAGAGGUGAGUGGAACUGCGAGUGUAGAGGUGAAAUUCGUAGAUAUUCGCAAGAACACCAGUGGCGAAGGCGGCUCACUGGCCCGUUACUGACGCUGAGGCACGAAAGCGUGGGAGCAAACAG